AUGUGAUCCUAAUCUAUUUGCUUUGCUUGCUACAGUCAUUCUCUGGAUUCUUUCUGGAUAUGAGAGCCUAAGCCUGAAGGUGGAUCUGAGCUUGAUGGUGUUUGAAAAAUAAGAAAUGGUUAAAAUUGGCAUAUGGUGCCAGGGUCAAAAAUAAGCUAUUAGUCAACUUUGAUGCAAGUUGUAGAGGUUAAUUGAAGUUUGUUACUGCUGCAUCACAUGAAAAUAGGUGGAAUUUGCUAUUCUUGAAGGAUAAGUUUGGAUUAAUCUGAAUUAAGAUAAUAGAUUAAAUGCACUUUGAGGGAUCCUGGGGGAUGGACACUGUUAACCCUUUGCCAUGUAUCUCCAUUUCUCUAUAAAUAUGUCCAUGGUAGUUUUAAAACCUGGCUGCAACUUCUUUGAUACUCAUCUGAUAAGAUAGAGUCUGUGUUCCCUCUCUUUACAUGUAUGUAGGCUUGUGAUUGAUUUUAACCAAUAGAAGUUGGUGAAAAUGGUCACAGUCACCAUAUGUGACUUCUGAGUCUAGGUCAUAAAAGACCAUGCAGUACCACCUUGUCUGCUGGAACAUUUACCUUUUGAACUCUCAGUCUUCCUGUGAGAAGUUGCACUGCCUGAGGCUGGCAUGUUGUGAGAAAGCCCAAGACAGACAGACCCCUUGAAGGGUCUUGCUGUGUUGCCCAGGUUGGAGUGCAGUGGCAUGAUCUCAGCUCAUUGCAACCUCUGCCUCCUGAGUUCAAGCAUUCUCCUGCCUCAGCCUCCAAAGUAGGUAGGACUACAGGCAUGUACCACCACACCUGGUUAUAGAAGCUCAGAAGUUCAGUGAAAGGGGCCGGGCGGAGACCGAACUACACCAGUCGCGGUCAAGAGAUCUUUAUUGGAGGUAUCGAGGGGCACCACACAAGGAGAAGGAAGAGAAGAGAGAGAGGGCUGCUGGUGUGCUGGGUUUUAUAUCCCUUGGGCCUACGUGGAUUGGGCUAGGGGCGGGCCCAAGGGAAGGCGGGAGAUGCUUCUUUCUGAUUGGCCCUCCUUUGGCGGGUUCAGACAGUGCCCGGUCAAGGAGGGGAGAAGAACCCAGAACCGGCCCCAUCUUAAGGUUCAGACAGUGCCCGGUCAAGGAGGGGAGAAGAACCCAGAACCGGCCCCAUCCUAAG